rfam:Triticum aestivum genome assembly, contig: Triticum_aestivum_CS42_TGACv1_scaffold_221846_3B
GACGUACUCCCUCUGUUCGGAAAUACUUGUCAUCAAAAUGAAUAAAAGGGGAUGUAUCUAGAUGUAUUUUAGUUUUAGAUACAUCCCAUUUUGUCCAAUUUGAUGACAAGUAUUUUCGGACGGAGGGAGUACAAC